GCCGCUGGAGCCGUGAGCCGUGCCUUUUGGAGAUGGCAACAGAAAUACUGGAAAACCAAGCGGCUGGGGCCCCGUUCUUCCAGGUCAUCGUCGGCGGAAUGGUGUUUUUUUAUGCCAUCAACUGCGGCAAACAGAAACACCACAGGAACUACAA
rfam:Aedes aegypti strain Liverpool supercont1.380 genomic scaffold, whole genome shotgun sequence.